UACGUAGGUGGCAAGCGUUGUCCGGAUUUACUGGGCGUAAAGAGCGCGCAGGCGGUCGUUCAAGUCGCGUGUGAAAGCCCCCGGCUCAACUGGGGAGGGUCACGCGAUACUGAUCGACUCGAAGGCAGGAGAGGGUAGUGGGAAUUCCCGGUGUAGUGGUGAAAUGCGUAGAUAUCGGGAGGAACACCAGUGGCGAAGGCGACUACCUGGCCUGUUCUUGACGCUGAGGCGCGAAAGCUAGGGGAGCAAACGGG
rnacentral:rRNA from 1 species